CCGAGUUUGGACAGCCCUGCUAUAUAGCAUUAUGAGUUAUUCACAUUCAUCAAAAUAUCUCCUUUUACAGAAGAAAGAAAUUCACACAGGUUUGGAACAACUUGAGGUCUGACACCUGCUAGUGAAUAACUCCGGGGAUAAUUUUGAACCUGAUACAGAUUCCCAAAAUACUUCUGUUCAAGAGUGCAACUGGAGACUUUUUGAGACUGGGCUAUUCUGGACAGGACUGUCUGACUGUGGAUCUAAGGGAAUUGGACCUCUUUGAUGAAGUGGACUAUUUAUGGCGGGGAAAUAUCCUCUCAGCUCGCGCUGUGCUGACAGCCUCAGAUGAAUCACCCUCGUUUAUUCUGCUGAUGCUGCAGGUAUACGAGAGCCAGGAAUUUAAUAUGCGGCUGUGGGAGAGAAGAGCUACGGGUGCUAGAGAGGAUAAAUAAUUGAAAGGUCACACAGAGUGGCUGAACUGCUAUACGUGAGCUAUAUGAGGAGCUCAUUGUGUGUCUGUGUGUGUGUGUGGUUUCUUGCUGCAUACAUGGGGACUCAGAUAAGAUGAGGUUUAUUAGGCAUGUGUGGAUUGUGACACAUGGAACACAAUGGUCUUAUUUGCCCUGCCACAUUAUUCAGUGUAAAUUGCUGUAUACUAUAU